CCUACGGGUGGCUGCAGUGGGGAAUAUUGGACAAUGGGGGGAACCCUGAUCCAGCCAUGCCGCGUGUGUGAAGAAGGCCCUCGGGUUGUAAAGCACUUUCAGUGAGGAAGAACGCCUGGUGGUUAAUACCCAUCAGGAAAGACAUCACUCACAGAAGAAGCACCGGCUAACUCCGUGCCAGCAGCCGCGGUAAUACGGAGGGUGCGAGCGUUAAUCGGAAUUACUGGGCGUAAAGCGCGCGUAGGUGGCUUGAUAAGCCGGUUGUGAAAGCCCCGGGCUCAACCUGGGAACGGCAUCCGGAACUGUCAAGCUAGAGUGCAGGAGAGGAAGGUAGAAUUCCCGGUGUAGCGGUGAAAUGCGUAGAGAUCGGGAGGAAUACCAGUGGCGAAGGCGGCCUUCUGGACUGACACUGACACUGAGGUGCGAAAGCGUGGGUAGCAAACAGGUUUAGAUACCCUUGUAGUC
rnacentral:rRNA from 1 species